rnacentral:rRNA from 1 species
AGAGACGUUAAUUGAUUAUUAGACAUAUUUCCUAAGAGUAGUGUUGCUUGAUAGUGCAGCACUAAUUUGGUGCUAAACUCCAUCUAAAACUAAAUAUGACCAUGAGACCGAUAGCAAACAAGUACCGUGAGGGAAAGUUGAAAAGAACUCUGAAUAGAGAGUUAAAUAGUACGUGAAACUGCUUAGGGGUUAAGCCCGAUGAACCUGAAUAUCCAUGAUGAAAAAUUCAUCAUUAAUAAUAUAUUAUAUUAUAUAAUAUAUAAAUAGUGUGCAAUUUUUUCAUAUAAGGACAUUGUAAUCUGUUAAUAUUAUAUAUUUUAUUAUAUGUAUUUAUCAUAAGAAUCGUACGAAUAAGUUUAUUCCUUUUUAAUUUUUUUAUUAAAAGUUAAUGGUAUAAAAAUUCAUAAUGCGAUAUCGGAUAAAUUAUUGACAGUUUUAAUUUGUAUGUAACGCUUACAUUAUAUAUAUAAUGUUAUAAUAAAAAUAUAAUCAUGUAUUAUUUGUUUUUAUUUAUAUGCGUUUAUAUGAUUAACAAUGCGAUAGAUUUAGGAUACCUUCGGGACCCGUCUUGAAACACGGACCAAGAAGUCUAACAUGUGUGCAAGUCAUUGGGUAGAUACAAUUGUAAAAACCUAAAGGCAUAAUUAACUUAACUUUAUAUAUUUAAAUGGGAUUAUUUUAUGUUUAAUUACAAAAUAUAAAAUCCAUCCCGGGGCGUUCUAUAUAGUUAUGUAUAUUAAUAUUUUUAUUAAUAUUAUAUAUACCUCUAACUGGAGCGUACCUUUAGCAUAUAUGUUGUGACCCGAAAGAUGGUGAACUAUACCUGAUCAGGUUGAAGUCAGGGGAAACCCUGAUGGAAGAUCGAAGCAGUUCUGACGUGCAAAUCGAUUGUCAGAAUUGGGUAUAGGGGCGAAAGACUAAUCGAACCAUCUAGUAGCUGGUUCCCUCCGAAGUUUCCCUCAGGAUAGCUGGUGCUUUUAAAAAUUUAAAAGUAAACUUAUCUGGUAAAGCGAAUGAUUAGAGGCCUUAGGGCCGAAACAACCUUAACCUAUUCUCAAACUUUAAAUGGGUAAAAACCUUAUCUUUCUUGAUACGUCUGAAGUUAAGGUUAUGAUAUAUUGUGCCCAGUGGGCCACUUUUGGUAAGCAGAACUGGCGCUGUGGGAUGAACCAAACGUGAUGUUACGGUGCCAAAAUUGACAACUCAUACUGAUACCAUGAAAGGCGUUGCUUGCUUAAAACAGCAGGACGGUGGACAUGGAAGUCGUAAUCCGCUAAGGAGUGUGUAACAACUCACCUGCCGAAGCAACUAGCCCUUAAAAUGGAUGGCGCUCAAGUUGUAUACCUAUACAUCACCGCUAAAACAUAUGAUUUAUAAAUAAUUUAAUUUUUUUAAAUUUUGAAGUUCUACUGAGUAGGAGGGUACAAUACUGUGCGUAAAAAUGUUUGGCGUAAGCAUGCAUGGAGCCGCUAUUGGUACAGAUCUUGGUGGUAGUAGCAAAUAAUCGAAUGAGACCUUGGAGGACUGAAGUGGAGAAGGGUUUCGUGUGAACAGUGGUUGAUCACGAGUUAGUCGGUCCUAAGUUCAAGGCGAAAGCCGAAAAUUUAAUAAGUAAAAUAAGAUAAAAUAAAAUAAAAUAUUAUUAUAAUAUUAUACACUUAUAAAUUGUUGAACGAAAGGGAAUACGGUUCCAAUUCCGUAACCUGUUGAGUAUACGUUUGUUAUUAAAAAUGGGCUUUUAAACGCUCAUCCUGGCAACAGAAACAACCAUAAAGAAGCCGUCGAGAGGUAUCGAAAGAGUUUUCUUUUCUGUUUUAUAAUCGUACUACCAUGGAAGUCUUUCGAAGAGAGAUAUGGUAGAUGGAUUAGAAGAGCAUGGCAUUUACUGCUGUGUCGAUAUUUUCUCCUCGGACCUUGAAAAUUUAUGGUAGGGUUACGCAAAUUUCUCAACAGGCCGUACCGAUAUCCGCAGCUGGUCUCCAAGGUGAAGAGUCUCUAGUCGAUAGAAUAAUGUACGUAAGGGAAGUCGGCAAAUUAGAUCCGUAACUUCGGGAUAAGGAUUGGCUCUGAAGAUUGAGAUAGUCGGGCUUGAUUGGGAAGCAAUAAAAUGGUUUAUGUACUCGUUCUGGGUAAAUAAAAUUAUUAUAAUAUUUUGUACGUCAAAAAUACUUGUAUUAUAUAAUUUGUUCCCCGGAUAGUUAGUUUACGUAACCAAUUGCGGAACUUUCUUGCUAAUUAUUUAUAUUAUAUAUAUUGAAUUUAUUUUUGAUAUAUAUAUAUAAAUGUGUAAAUUAUAACGGCUAUCAAUUAACAAUCAAUUCAGAACUGGCACGGACUUGGGGAAUCCGACUGUCUAAUUAAAACAAAGCAUUGUGAUGGCCCUAACGGGUGUUGACACAAUGUGAUUUCUGCCCAGUGCUCUGAAUGUCAAAGUGAAGAAAUUCAAGUAAGCGCGGGUAAACGGCGGGAGUAACUAUGACUCUCUUAAGGUAGCCAAAUG